AAAUUGAAGAGUUUGAUCAUGGCUCAGAUUGAACGCUGGCGGCAGGCCUAACACAUGCAAGUCGAACGGUAACAGGAAGAAGCUUGCUUCUUUGCUGACGAGUGGCGGACGGGUGAGUAAUGUCUGGGAAACUGCCUGAUGGAGGGGGAUAACUACUGGAAACGGUAGCUAAUACCGCAUAACGUCGCAAGACCAAAGAGGGGGACCUUCGGGCCUCUUGCCAUCGGAUGUGCCCAGAUGGGAUUAGCUAGUAGGUGGGGUAACGGCUCACCUAGGCGACGAUCCCUAGCUGGUCUGAGAGGAUGACCAGCCACACUGGAACUGAGACACGGUCCAGACUCCUACGGGAGGCAGCAGUGGGGAAUAUUGCACAAUGGGCGCAAGCCUGAUGCAGCCAUGCCGCGUGUAUGAAGAAGGCCUUCGGGUUGUAAAGUACUUUCAGCGGGGAGGAAGGGAGUAAAGUUAAUACCUUUGCUCAUUGACGUUACCCGCAGAAGAAGCACCGGCUAACUCCGUGCCAGCAGCCGCGGUAAUACGGAGGGUGCAAGCGUUAAUCGGAAUUACUGGGCGUAAAGCGCACGCAGGCGGUUUGUUAAGUCAG
rnacentral:rRNA from 1 species